AUCUCUCGGGGAAACUCGAAUUAAUACCGCAUACGCCCUACGGGGGAAAGCAGGGGAUCUUCCGACCUUGCGCUAUUAGAUGAGCCUGCGUUGGAUUAGCUUGUUGGUGGGGUAAUGGCCUACCAAGGCGACGAUCCAUAGCUGGUCUGAGAGGAUGAUCAGCCACACUGGAACUGAGACACGGUCCAGACUCCUACGGGAGGCAGCAGUCGGGAAUAUUGGACAAUGGGCGCAAGCCUGAUCCAGCCAUGCCGCGUGUGUGAAGAAGGCCUUAGGGUUGUAAAGCACUUU
rnacentral:rRNA from 14 species